rnacentral:rRNA from 1 species
CCUACGGGAGGCAGCAGUGGGGAAUCUUGCGCAAUGGGCGAAAGCCUGACGCAGCCAUGCCGCGUGAAUGAUGAAGGUCUUAGGAUUGUAAAAUUCUUUCACCGGGGACGAUAAUGACGGUACCCGGAGAAGAAGCCCCGGCUAACUUCGUGCCAGCAGCCGCGGUAAUACGAAGGGGGCUAGCGUUGCUCGGAAUUACUGGGCGUAAAGGGAGCGUAGGCGGAUAGUUCAGUCAGAGGUGAAAGCCCAGGGCUCAACCUUGGAACUGCCUUUGAUACUGGCUAUCUUGAGUUUGGGAGAGGUAUGUGGAACUCCGAGUGUAGAGGUGAAAUUCGUAGAUAUUCGGAAGAACACCAGUGGCGAAGGCGACAUACUGGCCCAAUACUGACGCUGAGGCUCGAAAGCGUGGGGAGCAAACAGGAUUAGAUACCCUGGUAGUCCACGCUGUAAACGAUGAGUGCUAGUUGUCGGCAUGCAUGCAUGUCGGUGACGCAGCUAACGCAUUAAGCACUCCGCCUGGGGAGUACGGUCGCAAGAUUAAAACUCAAAGGAAUUGACGG